rnacentral:rRNA from 1 species
GGAGUCUGGUCCGUGUCUCAGUACCAGUGUGGGGGACCUUCCUCUCAGAACCCCUAUCCAUCAUCGACUUGGUGGGCCGUUACCCCGCCAACUAUCUAAUGGAACGCAUCCCCAUCCUAUGCCGACAAGUCUUUACUCCUAAUCUCAGGCGAUCAAAGGAGACUAUCUCGUAUUAAUCCUCAUUUCUAAGGGCUAUCCCAGAGCAUAGGCCAGGUUGGAUACGCGUUACUCACCCAUUCGCCGGUCGCCAUCGGAAGUAGCAAGCUACUUCCAUGCUGCCCCUCGACUUGCAUGUGUUAAGCCUGUAGCUAGCGUUCAUC